rnacentral:rRNA from 1 species
AUACGGAGGGUGCAAGCGUUAUCCGGAAUCACUGGGUUUAAAGGGUGCGUAGGCGGCGUUGUAAGUCAGAGGUGAAAGCCCACAGCUUAACUGUGGAAUUGCCUUUGAUACUGCAGUGCUUGAAUCAGGUUGAGGUCGGCGGAAUGUGACAUGUAGCGGUGAAAUGCAUAGAUAUGUCAUAGAACACCAAUUGCGAAGGCAGCUGGCUAGACCUGUAUUGACGCUGAGGCACGAAAGCGUGGGGAGCGAACAGGAUUAGAUACCCUGGUAGUCCACGCCCUAAACGAUGCUAACUCGAUGUGUGGUCUGUAAGAUUGCGCGUCCUAGGGAAACCGUUAAGUUAGCCACCUGGGGAGUACGUCGGCAACGAUGAA